rnacentral:rRNA from 1 species
GAUGAACGCUGGCGGCGUGCCUAAUACAUGCAAGUCGAGCGAACAGAUGAGGAGCUUGCUCCUCUGACGUUAGCGGCGGACGGGUGAGUAACACGUGGAUAACCUACCUAUAAGACUGGGAUCACUUCGGGAAACCGGAGCUAAUCCCGGAUAAUAUAUUGAACCGCAUGGUUCAAUAGUGAAAGACGGUUUUGCUGUCACUUAUAGAUGGAUCCGCGCCGCAUUAGCUAGUUGGUAAGGUAACGGCUUACCAAGGCAACGAUGCGUAGCCGACCUGAGAGGGUGAUCGGCCACACGGGAACUGAGACACGGUCCAGACUCCUACGGGAGGCAGCAGUAGGGAAUCUUCCGCAAUGGGCGAAAGCCUGACGGAGCAACGCCGCGUGAGUGAUGAAGGUCUUCGGAUCGUAAAACUCUGUUAUUAGGGAAGAACAAAUGUGUAAGUAACUAUGCACGUCUUGACGGUACCUAAUCAGAAAGCCACGGCUAACUACGUG